UCCGUUAUGGUGUGGUGGCUAACAUUAUCGCCUCAUGGAAAAAUCUGCUGAAAGCGCGAUAACCCAGGGUUUGAUUCCCUGUAACGGAA